rnacentral:rRNA from 1 species
UACGAAGGGUGCGAGCGUUGUUCGGAUUUACUGGGCGUAAAGGGUUCGUAGGCGGGAGAGUAAGUUGGAUGUGAAAUCCCUGAGCUUAACUCAGGACGUGCAUCCAAAACUGCUAUUCUUGAGUAUCGGAGAGGGUUGUGGAAUUGCUGGUGUAGGAGUGAAAUCCGUAGAGAUCAGCAGGAACACCUGAGGCGAAGGCGGCAACCUGGCCGAAUACUGACGCUGAGGAACGAAAGCGUGGGGAGCAAACAGG